rnacentral:rRNA from 1 species
UGGGGAAUUUUGGACAAUGGACGCAAGUCUGAUCCAGCCAUGCCGCGUGCGGGAAGAAGGCCUUCGGGUUGUAAACCGCUUUUGUCAGGGAAGAAACGAGUUUCUCUAAUACAGAGACUUAAUGACGGUACCUGAAGAAUAAGCACCGGCUAACUACGUGCCAGCAGCCGCGGUAAUACGUAGGGUGCGAGCGUUAAUCGGAAUUACUGGGCGUAAAGCGUGCGCAGGCGGUGAUGUAAGACAGAUGUGAAAUCCCCGGGCUCAACCUGGGACCUGCAUUUGUGACUGCAUCGCUGGAGUGCGGCAGAGGGGAAUGGAAUUCCGCGUGUAGCAGUGAAAUGCGUAGAUAUGCGGAGGAACACCGAUGGCGAAGGCAAUCCCCUGGGCCUGUACUGACGCUCAUGCACGAAAGCGUGGGGAGCAAACA